ACGGGUAUAGAAUAUUUGACAUUCUGCAACCCUCCUUCUCGUUCUCUUUGGGCAUUUCUUCUCCUUUACUUCUCAAUCUCUUUGCGCAUUUCUUCUCUAGCUACGUUGCCUCCACGACGACCUCCUCUGCAUUAAGGGCACAGUACAAAACCCUCGCCAUCUACAACGUCGUGACCCCAUCCAAAUCGCCAAGUCGUCUCUCGUCAAAACCCUUGUCGUGCUCAUGGGUCGCACCCCAUCCUAGAAGUGUUAGAUCUCGCUGUGUUUGGGCACUAGAUAAAGUUGGAAACGUCUAUGGAUAGGGUUCCGCCACCGCACACGAGCGAAGAUUGGAGAUACUCCAACACGAGAUCAAUUAGGGUUUUGUUUCUCGUAGCGCCACCAUUGUUCGCACCACUGCCACUCGCCGCAGGUGUUGCGCGCCGCUCCAUGAUGUCAUUGAGGGUGUCAAUUUGCUUGUUCCCCUAUUCUUUAUCGUCAGCGACGACAGUCGUUCAGAUGAUACUCUGGUCGUGAUUAUGAGGGAUUAAGAGGAUGAAUGUGUUUUGGAAAUUGGUACGUUGUAUAUCCAGCUAGUGAUGUUGAGGAUUCUAGUGAUGUUAAUAGCUUAAGUGGCAGCAGUAGUUGCUUGAGUAUUCGCCAAGAUGAAGUGGUAUUGCAAGAUGUAGGUAGCACGAGGACGAAGCCCGCCAUUUUUUUCAGCAGUAACAAUAGGCUCCAGGACCAUAAUGACUGAACCUUGUAUAGUAAGGAUUUGGUUGAUGAGGCUUCAAUGAGAAAGAGUGGAGACAAUUUGUCUGCAGUUGUGAUUUGCUUCCAGCAGCAACCUCCUCGCAACUUGGUGGCCCCUUGGUCUAGAGUGCACUGGAGCUUCUCUGCUUAAGGUUUAAGGAGUUGUAGAGUUUCCUUGAUAAAUUGGGAUCUUGUGGAACUGUGUAUCAUGCUCUGUGGUAUGGAUCGGUAUGUUCUUUCCUUUUCCUGUAAUUUCUGUUUUAAAUUUCAUCUUGCUUAACAUGUUUAAGUUUUUUGUAUACAUUACAUUAUUGGUUAUGUUGCAACUCAAAUUACUUAAAUUUAAGUUUAUUUUAAAUUUCUUAAUUUAAUUGCAAUUUAAGUUUGUAAAGCUGAAUGUUUGACAACCCAUUAACUUUCCUUUGCUUCGAGCAUUUCAUUCCCACUGCAGUUUCAUGGCCUAUUUGUUAUCCAAUAUGAGUGAUGCCUUGCCUUUGCAUUCAGUCUUUAAAGAGGAUUAAUAUUAAAAACUCAAUAUUUCAAUAGUCUUAUUAGGAUACUUCACUAUUUAGUUCAGUCCAUAUGAUAUCAACAAUUUCUCUUUUCAAUUUUAUUAGCAGUAGCUGAUGUUUCUGUAGCUGACUUAAUUCUAAACCUAUGAUUUCUUACUCAUUUUGUUUGUUUCUUUAGUUCUAGGUUAAAUAGGGUCGAAACUUCUUAGUUACA